UGGUUGUUGCUAGGGCAACUGCAGGCCCCGCCCCUGACCUUGAUCCCGCCCUGCGCGCUGCUGAUUGGCGGUAUCUGUUAUUGGAGGUCAGCCUCUAUGUGGUGAAGACAGUGAAGCAGCCAACUGAGAGACACAAAUGAGGAUGAACAAGGGUGUCCUGUCAACAACCAUAACUAUCUGAGCAACCCAUCCGGGAAGCAGAUUUUCCAGCCCUAAUCAAGUCUUUGGAUGACUAUAGCCCUAGGCAACACUUUAAUCAUAUCUUCCUGAGAGACCCUGAACCACCAGCUAAGCCAGACUCCUGACUUACAGAAACUGUGUGAGAUAAUAAAUAUUUGUUGUUUUAAGCCA